rnacentral:tRNA from 1 species
GUUUAGUUAGUUUAAGUAAAACGUAAAUUUUGUAAGUUUAAAAUUAAGAGAAUG